GCCUCGGUGGCGUAGUGGUUAAGACGCUCGCCUGGAAAACAGGAGGGCGUGGGUUCGAUCCCAGCCGAGGCA
rfam:Asian citrus Psyllid, Diaphorina citri - Florida Strain, whole genome shotgun sequence.